GACGAACGCUGGCGGCGUGCUUAACACAUGCAAGUCGAACGGAAAGGCCCUGCUUUUGUGGGGUGCUCGAGUGGCGAACGGGUGAGUAACACGUGAGUAACCUGCCAUUGACUUUGGGAUAACUUCAGGAAACUGGGGCUAAUACCGGAUAGGAGCUCCUGCUGCAUGGUGGGGGUUGGAAAGUUUCGGCGGUUGGGGCUGGACUCGCGGCUUAUCAGCUUGUUGGUUGGGUAGUGGCUUACCAAGGCUUUGACGGGUAGGCGACCUGAGAGGGGGACCGGGCCCCAUACGCCUGCGGGAAGGACCAGAGCAGAAUGGGGGGCAAGGGUGGAGAGGAUUAUACAGGAGGGCGGGGGGUGGCAUGAACGAGCCCGGGUGGGAAAGCAGUGCUGGCGGUAGGGAAAAGGAUUUCGCUUAGACGGGGGGUGGAUGACGGUAAUGGGAGAAUAAGCACCGGCUAACUACGUG
rnacentral:rRNA from 1 species